rnacentral:rRNA from 1 species
GAUGAACGCUGGCGGCGUGCCUAAUACAUGCAAGUCGAGCGAACAGACGAGGAGCUUGCUCCUCUGACGUUAGCGGCGGACGGGUGAGUAAAACGUGGAUAACCUACCUAUAAGACGGGGAUAACUUCGGGAAACCGGAGCUAAUACCGGAUAAUAUAUUGAACCGCAUGGUUCAAUAGUGAAAGACGGUUUUGCUGUCACUUAUAGAUGGAUCCGCGCCGCAUUAGCUAGUUGGUAAGGUAACGGCUUACCAAGGCAACGAUGCGUAGCCGACCUGAGAGGGUGAUCGGCCACACUGGAACUGAGACACGGUCCAGACUCCUACGGGAGGCAGCAGUAGGGAAUCUUCCGCAAUGGGCGAAAGCCUGACGGAGCAACGCCGCGUGAGUGAUGAAGGUCUUCGGAUCGUAAAACUCUGUUAUUAGGGAAGAACAAAUGUGUAAGUAACUAUGCACGUCUUGACGGUACCUAAUCAGAAAGCCCCGGCUAACUACGUG